AUGAAAAUGGGGGCAGGGAUUAACAGCUCCAUUCUGAGCAAUGCACAAACUGCACACAGGCAUCACAAAGUCUCUGGAAUUGUGAUAUUCCCUAGGAAAGGAGCACCCAGGGAAGGAAAGGAGCACCCAGGGAAAAGAAAGGAACAUCCAGGAAAGGAAAGGAACAUCCAGAGAAAGGAAAGGAGCACCCAGGAAAGGAAAGGAGCACCCAGGGAAGGAAAGAAAAUCCAGGAAGGGAAAGGAGCACCCAGGGAAGGAAAGGAGCACCCAGGGAAAAGAAAGGAGCACCCAGGGAAAGGAAAGGAACAUCCAGGGAAAGGAAAGGAGCACCCAGGGAAAGGAAAGGAGCACCCAGGGAAGGAAAGGAACAUCCAGGAAAUGAAAAGGAGCACCCAGGAAAUGAAAAGGAGCACCCAGGGAAGGAAAGGAACAUCCAGGGAAGGAAAAGAACAGGGCAGGCACGUCCCACUGUGCUCCUGCUCCAACCUGUCCUGCUGGAGGCAGGAAGGGAUCCAGCCCAGCAGCCCAUGCUGGCUGGGCAGAGCUGCUCCCUGCUCAGGACAUGCAGCCAGCCUGGUUUUUCCAGCCCAAGGCAAAGCCCAGGGCUCUGCUGGCUCAGUGUGGGGCCGUGCUGACACCCAGUGGAAGAACCAGGGCUGGAAUUUUUUCCUUCUGCCAAAGAGAAAGGGAGAUGAAAAUGAAAAUGGGGCAGCAAAAACACCGGGGUCCUGCACUCAGCCAGCAAAAUGAACUGAGGGGAAAGGAAAACAGGGAUUAGAGGUGCUUUUGGGGGGUUUCUCUUUUGAUGGUGCUUUUGUCCCACCCCUAGAAGGGUCCAGGGAGGACCCAGGGACAGUGGAGGUGUCCUGGGACAGUGGAGGUGUCCUGGGACAGUGGAGGGUGUCCUUGCCACAGCAGGGGAUGAGAUUUAAGGUCCCUCCCAAGCCCAACCAUUCUGGAAUUUCACAACCCUUACUCCCCACACAAGGAGCAGAGACACAAGUGGUGCAAUAUCCCACAGAUUUCCCACUCCUGCACUUGGCAGACUGAACACAACAUCCACAGUGCAAAGUUCCCAGGGGAAACAGGGAUCACCCACCACCUCCCUGCUCCCAUCACAGGGAACCAGGAGAAGGAUUUUUCCUUUUCCCACACCUACCCCAAACCAAGCUGGGAGUAAACAGCUCCCUGUUCCUGGCAGGUGGGA
rnacentral:lncRNA from 12 species